UACACUCCUGCGGGAGGCAGCAGUGGGGAAUAUUGCACAAUGGGCGCAAGCCUGAUGCAGCCAUGCCGCGUGUAUGAAGAAGGCCUUCGGGUUGUAAAGUACUUUCAGCGGGGAGGAAGGCAAUACGGUUAAUAACCGUGUUGAUUGACGUUACCCGCAGAAGAAGCACCGGCUAACUCCGUGCCAGCAGCCGCGGUAAUACGGAGGGUGCAAGCGUUAAUCGGAAUUACUGGGCGUAAAGCGCACGCAGGCGGUCUGUCAAGUCGGAUGUGAAAUCCCCGGGCUCAACCUGGGAACUGCAUUCGAAACUGGCAGGCUUGAGUCUUGUAGAGGGGGGUAGAAUUCCAGGUGUAGCGAUGAAAUGCGUAGAGAUCUGGAGGAAUACCGGUGGCGAAGGCGGCCCCCUGGACAAAGACUGACGCUCAGGUGCGAAAGCGUGGGGAGCAAACAGGAUUAGAAACCCCGGUAGUCCC
rnacentral:rRNA from 1 species